rnacentral:rRNA from 1 species
GACAGAGGGUGCAAACGUUGUUCGGAAUUACUGGGCGUAAAGCGUGUGUAGGCGGCUAUGUAAGUCGGAUGUGAAAGCCCCGGGCUCAACUCGGGAAGUGCACUCGAUACUGCGUAGCUUGAGUACCGGAGAGGUUGGUGGAAUUCUCGGUGUAGAGGUGAAAUUCGUAGAUAUCGAGAGGAACACCGGUGGCGAAGGCGGCCAACUGGACGAGUACUGACGCUGAGACACGAAAGCGUGGGGAGCAAACAGG